ACAGUCACACGAGUUGAUCCUGGCUCAGAACGAACGCUGGCGGCAGGCCUAACACAUGCAAGUCGAACGAGCGAGAGAGAGCUUGCUUUCUCAAGCGAGUGGCGAACGGGUGAGUAACGCGUGAGGAACCUGCCUCAAAGAGGGGGACAACAGUUGGAAACGACUGCUAAUACCGCAUAAGCCCACGGCUCGGCAUCGAGCAGAGGGAAAAGGAGCAAUCCGCUUUGAGGUGGCCUCGCGUCCGAUUAGCUAGUUGGUGAGGUAACGGCCCACCAAGGCGACGAUCGGUAGCCGGACUGAGAGGUUGAACGGCCACAUUGGGACUGAGACACGGCCCAGACUCCUACGGGAGGCAGCAGUGGGGGAAUAUUGCACAAUGGGGGAAACCCUGAUGCAGCGACGCCGCGUGGAGGAAGAAGGUCUUCGGAUUGUAAACUCCUGUUGUUGGGGAAGAUAAUGACGGUACCCAACAAGGAAGUGACGGCUAACUACGUG
rnacentral:rRNA from 1 species